CACGUAGGGGACGAGCGUUGUCCGGAUUCAUUGGGCGUAAAGCGCGCGUAGGCGGCUCGGAAAGUCGGUCGUGAAAUGCCGGGGCUCAACCCCGGGACUGCGUCCGAUACUCCCGAGCUGGAGGCAGGUAGGGGAGAUCGGAAUUCCUGGUGUAGCGGUGAAAUGCGCAGAUAUCAGGAGGAACACCGGUGGCGAAGGCGGAUCUCUGGGCCGGAACUGACGCUAAGGAGCGAAAGCGUGGGGAGCGAACAGG
rnacentral:rRNA from 1 species